rnacentral:rRNA from 1 species
UACGGAGGGCGCGAGCGUUAAUCGGAAUUACUGGGCGUAAAGCGCGCGUAGGCUGUUGUGUAAGUUGGGGGUGAAAUCCCACGGCUCAACCGUGGAACAGCCCUUGAUACUGCGCGACUUGAAUCCGGGAGAGGGUGGCGGAAUUCCAGGUGUAGGAGUGAAAUCCGUAGAUAUCUGGAGGAACACCGGUGGCGAAGGCGGCCACCUGGACGACAACUGACGCUGAGGUGCGAAAGCGUGGGUAGCAAACAGG